CGCGGCCUAUCAGCUUGUUGGUGAGGUAAAGGCUCACCAAGGCAUUGACGGGUAGCUGGUCUGAGAGGACGAUCAGCCACACUGGGACUGAGACACGGCCCAGACUCCUGCGGGAGGCAGCAGUGGGGAAUCUUGCGCAAUGGGCGAAAGCCUGACGCAGCAACGCCGCGUGGGGGAUGAAGGCUCUCGGGUUGUAAACCCCUUUCAGCAGGGACGAAAUUGACGGUACCUGUAGAAGAAGCCCCGGCCAACUACGUGCCAGCAGCCGCGGUAACACGUAGGGGCCGAGCGUUGUCCGGAAUUAUUGGGCGUAAAGGGCUCGUAGGCGGUUCGGUAAGUCAGAUGUGAAAGGUUGGGGCUCAACCCUAAGACUGCAUUUGAUACUGCCGUGACUAGAGUCCGGUAGAGGAGUGUGGAAUUCCUGGUGUAGCGGUGAAACGCGCAGAUAUCAGGAGGAACACCGACGGCGAAGGCAGCACUCUGGACCGGUACUGACGCUGAGGAGCGAAAGCGUGGGUAGCAAACAGGAUUAGAUACCCUGGUAGUCCAUGCCGUAAACGUUGGGCACUAGGUGUGGGACCUUAUCAACGGGUUCCGUGCCGUAGCUAACGCAUUAAGUGCCCCGCCUGGGGAGUACGG
rnacentral:rRNA from 1 species